AGUACGUGAAACCGUUUAGGGGUAAACCUGAGAAACCCGAAAGGUCGAAGGGAGAAAUUCAUUCGCGUUUCGACGUUGGCGUCGAACGGGGUCGUGCGACGGGACGCGUUCUUCGGAACGACAGUCUCGCGCCCUUCGUUCGUUUCGAACCGACGACGAACGCGUGCACUUUUCUCCUGGUAGGACGUCGCGAUCCGUCGGGUGUCGGUCUACGACGAUUUGCGGUGGAGACCGUCCGUCGUCUUCGUACGUUACGGACGGACCCGCUCGUUCCGGCCGACUCGCUCGACGGUAUAACCAACGGUCGGAGGCCGCUCGUUUAUUCAAAUAAGGAGCGUUCGACUCGUCGCAAGCGCGCCACGUGCGUCGGCACGCGGACCCAGUGCCGCGUCCGACCUCUGGUGACUGUUGGCGACGAAGUUCUCGAACAGACCUCUUUUUCUCCCUCAAAAGAGAGAAAGAAAGACCGAUCGGCGACGCUAUAGCUUUGGGUACUUUCAGGACCCGUC
rnacentral:rRNA from 1 species